CUAGUUGAGGCAAACAGAAGGAUGGAUGAAAACUUCAAGACACGCAACCCAAAGGUCGAUCAAAGAGUUGAGUCGUGAGAGGAUUAUGACUGUUCAGUUCAAUCAAAAGACCCUAAUGAGAUCAAAUCAAAGAUCCCAAAUCUCCUAAUAAUCAAAUAAAGGUUCAGUAAACAACUUCCCUUGUUUGUCCCCACUAUGAAUUUCAAGAACAGGAAGCAGAUCAACCCAACACAAAGAACAGAGAUUCCAGAUCACGAGAUAUCAAAUCCUCACGCUGUCAUGCAUCGUCCUUUCCCCAUACCUCAAGAUGCUAUUCCGCCAAAAAAAAGGAGAUAUUUUAUCGUUUAUCUUUAUCAGAUGCCCUGGGCCCAGAUCAGACAAAGCAGGCAACAGUAGAGGAAAUCAUCACAGGGAGGACAAGCAAUACAGAACCCAAAUUACCGUCGCCGGUGCUUGAAUACAUGUUCUUGUUUGAAUCCAGCGUGACGGAAUUACGGAAACAGGAAGAGAAGUUCGUAGAUAAACAAUUCGGAAGUGGACUUACCUAGCAGCAGGAUGGAAUUGCGGCUCCCGGCCGAGAAAAUGGGAGCCUCUAAGGCAGGUGCGGUGGGUUUAUAGGAGGAAGGAGCCCCGAGCCUUCCUGUCUGCUCCCACCUCGUUGACCCCUCCCAUCUCCUCUCCUCCCCUCUCGAGGUCCGGUGCGGACUGCGGUGCGCCCCCACCAACCCAGCGCGGCGCCGUGACGUGCUCCAGCUGCUUCUACUAUCCCGUUUGGUGUGGGUCCAUGAGGUCAGACUCGCCAUCAGCGUCAGUUCUCCAGCGCCGCACGGGAAGCACAGAUAAGAAAAGAGAGGAGGGGUGCGCCGGUGGCUCAAGUGACAAGUGAGGC
rnacentral:lncRNA from 1 species